AACAUACUGAGGAUUGGGCCCCUCAGAGUGGAAGUGACCUGGCUGAGGGUUAAGGCUGCAAUCCCGGGGUGAGGGGAUAAUCUUGGAAUAGGGGACCUGGGGUGAGGUAUGAGGGGACAGCUUGUGGUGCAGGGUCCUUAGAUUAGGACAUAGUGGGGCAGAAUGUGGCGGCGGGGACCUCAGUAUAAGAAGGUGUUUCAUCUUGGGGGUCCUGUCAGGGACCUGGCCUGGCCUGGGGUGGGGGGUCAAUGACAGGGGUUUUGACAAGCAGGAGUGGGGUUGGGGGUGUGGCCUGGCCCAGGGCUGGUGUUGGUGGUUUCGCUUGGGCGCCAGGACCUGGUCUGUGGCGGGGUGGGGCGUUGGGAAUGGGCCUCGCCCGGCGCUGCGGGCGGAGGGGGCGCGCGCAGGCCGCGCGGACGCCACUGCCCGCCCAGAGCUCGCGGAAGUUGUGCGGGAGCCGGGCUUUCCUGGACCAGCCACCCCCCGAGGAGGAACACGGCCUUGGAUCUGGGCAGCCGCCUGCCGUCCCCUUCGCUGGCGCCUCUGGUCGACAGUUUUGGCGACCACAAAGGGACCCAGAGCAGACUUCUCCUUCACCUGAGCUCUACAAGGAGCUGGAGCCUUGGUAAAAGCAGUGGCCCUUUGUGCCCACCCGUCUCCUCGGGGAGUCUAGAUGAAUUUGGUGCCUUUGGUGAGAGAUAAGAGGAUGUUUCUGGGCAGGUCCUCCUCUGCCCCUGGCAGGGAUUCAGCAAGAACCCUGCCAGAUUCACCAUGACUGUGGAUGGAACUGCUCUCCAGCAGAGAAAGUAACAAUUAUUCAUGAUUAAAAUUACUUGUCAAAAUA